GAUGAACGCUAGCGGCAGGCUUAAUACAUGCAAGUCGUGGGGCAGCAUGAGUAGCAAUACUUGAUGGCGACCGGCAAACGGGUGAGGAACACGUACACAACCUUCCUUCAAGCGGGGAAUAGCCCAGAGAAAUUUGGAUUAAUACCCCAUAAUAUAUUUGAUAAGGCAUCUUAUUAAUAUUAAAGCUUCGGCACUUGAUGAUGGGUGUGCGGCUGAUUAGAUAGUUGGCGGGGCAACGGCCCACCAAGUCUACGAUCAGUAGCUGAUGUGAGAGCAUGAUCAGCCACACGGGCACUGAGACACGGGCCCGACUCCUACGGGAGGCAGCAGUAAGGAAUAUUGGACAAUGGACGAAAGUCUGAUCCAGCCAUGCCGCGUGAAGGAUUAAGGUCCUCUGGAUUGAAACUUCUUUAUAUGGGACGAAAAAAGGGCAUUCUUGUUCACUUGACGGUACCAUAUGAAUAAGCACCGGCUAACUCCGUGCCAG
rnacentral:rRNA from 1 species